rnacentral:rRNA from 1 species
AUGAUGCAUAAAUUCGAAUUUGGUGCAAUAGAUGGCUAUCCUUGGGGCCGUCGGGCUAGCUCACCUCGCCCCAAAGGAAUAGCAGGCUUCGCAGGUCACCGAGCUCUUGGACGGGACCUCCUUCACCAACAUUUUCCGUCUGUGGACAUUGACGCCAUCAUCCGCAUCAAGAUGUCCUCACCUGGGCCGCAGAAAAUACCGACAUCUUCAUCGUCCGUUCUGCACAUUGCUUUGCCAUGGACGAGCAUGGUACCAGAUGGUCGCCGCGCCAUCUGGAAGACCAUAUGGAGGUGCCCUGCUCCCUCUAAGCUACGCGUCUCCGCAUGGCGGGUGGUGUCGAACUCUCUUGCCACUUGGUCGAAUAAAUUUUCCAGCAACCUCGAACCUACUAAUAUAUGUCUCCUAUGUGAGUAA